rnacentral:rRNA from 1 species
AGAGAUGGAUUGGUGCCUUCGGGAACUGUGAGACAGGUGCUGCAUGGCUGUCGUCAGCUCGUGUUGUGAAAUGUUGGGUUAAGUCCCGCAACGAGCGCAACCCUUAUCCUUUGUUGCCAGCACGUAAUGGUGGGAACUCAAAGGAGACUGCCGGUGAUAAACCGGAGGAAGGUGGGGAUGACGUCAAGUCAUCAUGGCCCUUACGAGUAGGGCUACACACGUGCUACAAUGGCAUAUACAAAGAGAAGCGAACUCGCGAGAGCAAGCGGACCUCAUAAAGUAUGUCGUAGUCCGGAUCGGAGUCUGCAACUCGACUCCGUGAAGUCGGAAUCGCUAGUAAUCGUAGAUCAGAAUGCUACGGUGAAUACGUUCCCGGGCCUUGUACACACCGCCCGUCACACCAUGGGAGUGGGUUGCAAAAGAAGUAGGUAGCUUAACCUUCGGGAGGGCGCUUACCACUUUGUGAUUCAUGACUGGGGUGAAGUCGUAACAAG